rnacentral:rRNA from 1 species
GAUGAACGCUGGCGGCGUGCCUAAUACAUGCAAGUCGAGCGAACGGACGAGAAGCUUGCUUUUCUGAUGUUAGCGGCGGACGGGUGAGUAACACGUGGAUAACCUACCUAUAAGACUGGGAUAACUUCGGGAAACCGGAGCUAAUACCGGAUAAUAUUUUGAACCGCAUGGUUCAAAAGUGAAAGACGGUCUUGCUGUCACUUAUAGAUGGAUCCGCGCUGCAUUAGCUAGUUGGUAAGGUAACGGCUUACCAAGGCAACGAUGCAUAGCCGACCUGAGAGGGUGAUCGGCCACACUGGAACUGAGACACGGUCCAGACUCCUACGGGAGGCAGCAGUAGGGAAUCUUCCGCAAUGGGCGAAAGCCUGACGGAGCAACGCCGCGUGAGUGAUGAAGGUCUUCGGAGCGUAAAACUCUGUUAUUAGGGAAGAACAUAUGUGUAAGGAACUGUGCACAUCUUGACGGUACCUAAUCAGAAAGCCACGGCUAACUACGUG